UACGAGGGGGGCGAGCGUUGUUCGGAAUUAUUGGGCGUAAAGGGUGUGUAGGCGGUGCUCUAAGUUCGGUGUGAAAUCUCCCGGCUCAACUGGGAGGGUGCGCCGGAAACUGGAAUGCUCGAACGUGGGAGAGGAAAGCGGAAUUCCUGGUGUAGCGGUGAAAUGCGUAGAUAUCAGGAGGAACACCAGUGGCGAAGGCGAGUCCCUGGACAAUACCUGACACUGAGGCACGAAAGCCAAGGGAGCAAACAGG
rnacentral:rRNA from 1 species